rnacentral:rRNA from 1 species
GGUUAAGCGACUAAGCGUACACGGUGGAUGCCCUGGCAGUCAGAGGCGAUGAAGGACGUGCUAAUCUGCGAAAAGCGCCGGCGAGGUGAUAUGAACCUUUGACCCGGCGAUGUCCGAAUGGGGAAACCCAGUGCAAUUCGUUGCACUAUCGUUAACUGAAUACAUAGGUUAACGAGGCGAACCGGGGGAACUGAAACAUCUAAGUACCCCGAGGAAAAGAAAUCAACCGAGAUUCCCCCAGUAGCGGCGAGCGAACGGGGAGCAGCCCAGAGUCUGAAUCAGCUUGUGUGUUAGUGGAACGGUCUGGAAAGUCCGACGGUACAGGGUGAUAGUCCCGUACACGAAAAUGCACAGGCUGUGAACUCGAAGAGUAGGGCGGGACACGUGGUAUCCUGUCUGAAUAUGGGGGGACCAUCCUCCAAGGCUAAAUACUCCUGACUGACCGAUAGUGAACCAGUACCGUGAGGGAAAGGCGAAAAGAACCCCGGCGAGGGGAGUGAAAAAGAACCUGAAACCGUGUACGUACAAGCAGUGGGAGCACCUUCGUGGUGUGACUGCGUACCUUUUGUAUAAUGGGUCAGCGACUUAUAUUCUGUAGCAAGGUUAACCGUAUAGGGGAGCCGAAGGGAAACCGAGUCUUAACUGGGCGUUAAGUUGCAGGGUAUAGACCCGAAACCCGGUGAUCUAGCCAUGGGCAGGUUGAAGGUUGGGUAACACUAACUGGAGGACCGAACCGACUAAUGUUGAAAAAUUAGCGGAUGACUUGUGGCUGGGGGUGAAAGGCCAAUCAAACCGGGAGAUAGCUGGUUCUCCCCGAAAGCUAUUUAGGUAGCGCCUCGUGAACUCAUCUUCGGGGGUAGAGCACUGUUUCGGCUAGGGGGCCAUCCCGGCUUACCAACCCGAUGCAAACUACGAAUACCGAAGAAUGUUAUCACGGGAGACACACGGCGGGUGCUAACGUCCGUCGUGAAGAGGGAAACAACCCAGACCGCCAGCUAAGGUCCCAAAGUCAUGGUUAAGUGGGAAACGAUGUGGGAAGGCACAGACAGCCAGGAUGUUGGCUUAGAAGCAGCCAUCAUUUAAAGAAAGCGUAAUAGCUCACUGGUCGAGUCGGCCUGCGCGGAAGAUGUAACGGGGCUAAACCAUGCACCGAAGCUGCGGCAGCGACACUAUGUGUUGUUGGGUAGGGGAGCGUUCUGUAAGCCGUUGAAGGUGUCCUGUGAGGGGUGCUGGAGGUAUCAGAAGUGCGAAUGCUGACAUAAGUAACGAUAAUGCGGGUGAAAAGCCCGCACGCCGGAAGACCAAGGGUUCCUGUCCAACGUUAAUCGGGGCAGGGUGAGUCGACCCCUAAGGCGAGGCCGAAAGGCGUAGUCGAUGGGAAACAGGUUAAUAUUCCUGUACUUGGUGUUACUGCGAAGGGGGGACGGAGAAGGCUAUGUUAGCCGGGCGACGGUUGUCCCGGUUUAAGCAUGUAGGCGG